UCAGCUUAAGUAUCUUUUAGAUUCUAAGUUCUUUUUACCAAAAAUAUAUUGAACCAAUUUUUGAGCUUAAUUCUCAUCUCUCCUUUCUUAAAAGCUCAAAACUAUCCUUCAUAUGAUCAAUCUCUUAAAUGGACACCCUUCCCUUAAGUUUCAAUUUUUUUAAAAUUUUUCAUCAUUUUUUGAUUUUUCUAACCAUGAGUCGACCCAUAGGGUCGACCCUAAGGUAAACUUAUAAUUUUCAUUAAAUCCAUCGUGCGCUCUAUUUUAUUGGAAAAUCUCCAUUUGUAAAGAAGCCGACCCUUUGCCUUUCGUCUUCCUCUUCCCAUCGAAUAAAAAUCUCCUCCCCCUCCACUCUCUCAACCAUAAAAAUCUCUUAAAAUCCCUCUUCCCAUCGAUUUUCUCUAUUCAAAUCACCCUCUUAGGAACUAAAUCCCUUUUCCUUCUCUUCCUCGUUUGGACGGAUCAAGCUUACCCUAGCUUCAAACCCUCAUCUCCAAACCGACGGUCCAUCUCCCUAAAAAUCUUUAUUUUUCUCUAAAAUUCUUUCCACUCUAUCUCUCAUUAGGUCUCCUUAGCUGUUUGCAAGCCUCUGUUGUCUGAAAUGGCUCCCAAAUUG
rnacentral:lncRNA from 1 species